rnacentral:rRNA from 1 species
UAGCAUAUCAAUAAGCGGAGGAAAAGAAACCAACAGGGAUUGCCCUAGUAACGGCGAGUGAAGCGGCAACAGCUCAAAUUUGAAAUCUGGCUUCGGCCCGUAGUUGUAAUUUGCAGAGGAUGUUUCUGGCGCGGUGCCUUCCGAGUUCCCUGGAACGGGACGCCACAGAGGGUGAGAGCCCCGUAUGGUCGGACACCAAGCCUGUGUGAAACUCCUUCGACGAGUCGAGUAGUUUGGGAAUGCUGCUCUAAAUGGGAGGUAAAUCUCUUCUAAAGCUAAAUACCGGCCAGAGACCGAUAGCGCACAAGUAGAGUGAUCGAAAGAUGAAAAGCACCUUGAAAAGGGGGUUAAAUAGUACGUGAAAUUGUUGAAAGGGAAGCAUUUAUGACCAGACUUGGGCCGGGCGGCUCAUCAGGGGUUCUCCCCUGUGCAUUCCGCCCGGCACAGGCCAGCAUCGGUUUUCGCGGGGGGAUAAGACCGUCAGGAACGUAGCACCCUCCGGGGUGUGUUAUAGCCUGGCGGACGAUACUCCCGCGGGGACCGAGGUUCGCGCUCCGCAAGGAUGCUGGCGUAAUGGUCAUCAGUGACCCGUCUUGAAACACGGACCAAGGAGUCGUCCAUUAGAGCGAGCGUUUGGGUGUAAAACCCGCACGCGUAAUGAAAGUGAACGCAGGUGAGAGCUUCGGCGCAUCAUCGACCGAUCCUGAUGUUCUCGGAAGGAUUUGAGUAAGAGUUUUAACGGACGGACCCGAAAGACAGUGAACUAUGCUUGUAUAGGGUGAAGCCAGAGGAAACUCUGGUGGAGGCUCGCAGCGGUU